AGCAGCCGCGGUAAUUCCAGCUCCAAUAGCGUAUAUUAAAGUUGUUGCAGUUAAAAAGCUCGUAGUUGAAUUUCGGGGUUAGCAGGUCGGUCGUGCCAUCGGUAUGAACUGGUCUCGCUGAUCCCUCCCUCUUGACGAACUGUGAUGCCAUUAAUUUGGUGUCGCAGGGAAUCAGGACUGUUACUUUGAAAAAUUGAGUGUUUAAAGCAGGCUCACGCUUGAAUACAUUAGCAUGGAAUAAUGAAAUAGGACGUUUGAUCCUAUUUUGUUGGCUUCUAGGAUUGACGUAAUGAUUAAUAGGGAUAGUUGGGGCAUUAGUAUUCAAUUGUCAGAGGUGAAAUUCUUGGAUUUAUUGAAGACUAAACUACUGCGAAAGCAUUUGCCAAGGAUGUUUUCAUUAAUCAAGAACGAAAGUUAGGGGAUCGAAGACGAUCAGAUACCGUCGUAGUCUUAAACCAUAAACUAUGCCGACUAGGGAUCGGAUGAUGUUAAUUUUUAAUG
rnacentral:rRNA from 1 species